CGAAGCUCGUUUAGUCGGUGAAGUGUGUAAAGUGUGGCUGAGAUUCAGCGACUCUCGGGAGCCUUUGUGCCGAUUCAAACUCCUCGUGUGAAUUUCUAACAAUUACGAAGAAGAAUAUAAAAGUUAAAUACGCGUCUGAUGGUGGAGUGACGAGCUCAUUCAAGAGGCAAAGAACAAUGAAAACAGCAACGCAAAGGUGAACGACUGAAAGAGCUGCUCUGGUAAAUGACUUCAACUCAUACUGCAAUUACACGACCGAUGCUCGUAAAGAGAGAGACAAAAGCACCGAGCUAAUCAGAGAUGUACUUCAACUCAACCACCUUCCAUCAUUACCUCCAAGAUCCAAACCCAGAACAUUACCAGAAUACCCACACCUCAAAGACAGGAACCAGAC